rnacentral:rRNA from 1 species
AUGCGCGUUCGAGAACUUCAUUGUGAAUAUCAUAUGCACAAUCAUCCUGAAUGUAGAGAGCGCUAUCAAAUAAUCAAAGGAAUUUGCGGGGGUUUACAUUAUCUUCACGAGAGCCGAAUUUUUCACUUAGAUCUCAAACCUGAAAAUGUAUUGCUCGAUAACAACACGGUGCCAAAAAUUACAGACUUUAGCCUCUCAAGAUGCUUCGAAGAAAAGAUUAAACCUAGGUCAACUAUCACUUCAAAGUUCCAGUAG